UUGACGACCGGUUCUGUCAAUUGCAAGCUUUUAAGGAAUCAAUAGGACCAGAUUUUGUUGUGCGUUCUGUCAUCAGCUACUGUGUCUUUGUCCGGAACUUAUUUAUCAACUUGACCAAUCACAUUUCUCAAGUUAAUGUCAACUUCUAUGCAGUCAGUAGUGCUGCUCGUGAUCUCUAUGAGAGAACUGACAGUAUUGGUGCGGUACAUCUCAAGCUUGCCUGUACGGAACUUCUUCAUGCUUCUGAGGCGAAUAGUCCUGAAGAUUGCUCACAGGCUCUAUAUUGGACCAAAAGCGCAUUCUCAAAGCUGCAAAGAAAAUUGGAGACACUUGUGCAGAUUGAGCGGAAGAUUAUUGAGCUCGAAGGCAGAUUUUGAGAUGAAGUUCAAUGCUUUUCUAAAGUUACAUUAUCAAUGGUGAAGACUAGGACCCACAAGAAGAGUUGUACAAUUGCACACUCGCCACUUGGCAUCCAUGAAGGAGGUCUUCUCCAAGAAUAUGUGCAAUCAUUGUUAGAUGAGGUAAGGUAUACUUUAUUUGCGGAUACACAUUCUUGUUAAAUGGUAUUAGCUUCCCUACAUUACUAUCUCAGAGUUUUAUCAGUUGUGUUCUUAAAGAAUUCAGGGAUCUAUUGGCACAAUCAUCCUUGUAAAUUAUGCUGCUACCAAUAGUUGGAUUCUAUUGCGUAAUUCCUCCAUCUCAUUCUCUUUUAGAUUUUUGUACUUAGUGUUUCUUAAGCCAUGUCAUCUGUAUGUUAAUUAGCAUGAAAUGUAUCUUAAUAUUUCUUAAUUGGCUGCCUUUGCUGGUAAAGACCCUUUUAGUUGAUAUAUUGUUCAUGUUGUUUCCUCCAGGGGAUUGUAAAUGACCAAUUUGCUUCUGUUCAGACUUUGAAAAGUGCCGAUGAACCUGGUGCCAUCAUAAGACUGAUCACUUCAUAUUUUGCAGAUGUGGAAGCAGUAUUAUCCGAGCUCACAAGAUUUAUGUACAUUUGCAGUUUAGUAGAGUUUGUGUUCUCAUUGGUUUCAUCAAAUGUUAAAUUUUUCAUCAGCAUGUCUAUAUAUCUGCAGUGAUUCUCCUGAGGCUGAUUUUGACCAGUUGGCUGCCCAAGCUAAUACCAUCAAGGAGAAAAGCUUGUGGUAACAUAAAAAAUACCGCUGGGAUGAAUACAACUUUAAGUUUUAUUCUAUAAGUGGGGAAAAUGCAUCAAAACUGUCUGGAGGCUCUUAUUAACAUUUUGUUCGGAAUAUAAUGGGGCAUAUGUCGACAAAGUUCUCUUAAGGAAAGCCAGCCAAGAUGUGUUUUUAAUCUGUACUGGCACGAACUAGGCUUCUUAGUAAACAACUUGAGAGGGCAAUUCACUUUCAGAUGUAGCUCAUAAAGCCCUUGUUCUGCUGAAAAUUUUUAUCUCUUGGAUCAAAAGCUAAAGCGUUAGCUGGUGCAUGCGUGAGGGGAAGACAGACAGAGUCUGUAAUCUUGUAUAUGUGUACAUUCACUUUCCCUAAAACGCAUUAUUGCUGGAUAAAAAAAUUGAAGUCUUGAGUUUUUGAAAACAUCCUCUGUAAUAGCUUAUUGUUCUUUCCAAGUAUGCUGUCUGCUUAUCACUCAUGCCAUCAUUUGUUAAUACAUUAAUGUAGAUGAUGAUGAACUCUGGUUGACUUAAAUUUAUUCUGGAGCACCUUACCUUGGUUAUGUACUUUUUUGGAUCAUUUGUGAUAUGCUACGUCACAUCAGACUUUGCAUGUAAUCUGGAAAAGGAAUCCCUUUAAUAAUUAGUCAUUAUUGUUGUCUUGCAUGUAUUAUCCAAGUAGUGUGGAGCCAUCAUUUCCAACUCAUGGAGGAUCUGUAUUCCAUAAACCUUUCUUAAAACACUUAUUUCCUGCUUGGGCAUGCAGAUUAUUUAUAACCUGAGAGUAUUCAUUUGUUUACUUUUAUCCUCUCAACUUGCAAUUUACACACAUAAUGUUUUCAAAAGGAUUAUUUACCUUUGCAGUACAAGUAUCUAAAUGAUGUGAAUGAUAUUGUCAUGAAAUGAGAACCUUUUCCUAUUCAAGCUCUCCAAGUGAACAGUCCCUUUUGAAGAUUAACGUGCAUGAAAAAUGCCUUGGUUGCAUUUAGGUACUAAGUUUUAAUGCUCAAUUUCGAAGUUUAUCCUUAGGGUUUCCAAAGCGUUGUUAUUUCCCAACGGUUUUAGUUUAGGCUUAGGCUUAUAACUGCAUUGCUUUAUUGGCCAAACUUUUAAGGCGUGAUUACUAGUGAUGUCUUGAAAAGGAAGAUAGAUGGGUGAUCAAGUAUCCAAAUUUCUUGAUAUGUACAGUAAUUACACAAGUUUCCAUAUUUUAUGCUCGACUGUUUCUACUUGGAGUCAGAAUUACAUUCUUUUGUCCUUAGAUUAAGUUGCCAUACAGGUUUUAAUGCUUAGUUGGAAUAAUGAUGCGGUUGAUCCGUAAGUCUGGAUAGUCGACACCUUUGCUACCUCAUAAUUACAUGAGAUUCCAUAUUUUAUGCCUCAUUAUGAGUUUCUCUUUACCUAAAAUGCAGCCUAGAUAGCAGACAUUUUGCAAUAUUAAUUUGACAUAUAUGACGAUUUUGCCUUCUUGUGCUUUCUGCCAAGUACAAUUUACCCUUUUCACAGAUUUUGAUGAUACUCUUUGUAAGCCAAAUCUGUUUUUGUCUUUGUUGUUGCAGCAUAGGAGCUGCACAUAUGAAACUUGCAUGUGAUAACCUCAUCCGUGCUUGUGAAGAACAACAGAGGCAAAAGUUUUCUCAGGCACUUAAUUGGAUAAAAGCUGAAUUUGCUCAAACCCAGGAUAAGUUGGAUGCAGUUGUUCAGAUAUUGGAUAUGCUUGAUCAUGUUUUGCUGGGGCUCUAUUAGUUUCAGUAGCAUGCCCACUUAAAGGUAAAAAUGCUGAUGCCAGUUGGGUCAAUUGGCAAUGCAGAUGGAAAAGAGGAUUCUCAGACUUGAGAGCAAAAAGCACAAGUGAGCUUGUUCCUGGUAUUUGCUCGUUCUAUUCAUUGACUUGGCAUCUGCUGCUAAUGUGGAAUGAUACUUAUUAUCGCGACCAGCAAAGUUGUAGCUCUUUGGUCUAGCUUUUUCUAAAUUUGCGGUGAGCUACCUUUAUACUGCUGUUAUUACCGUCACUGUUAUGACGACUCUUUAUGAGAAAGGAUGGAAUUGUUGACAGUCAUUAAUCUUCAACGAGACAAAAGAUGUUAAUAUAAUCCUGGAAG